GACACUUAUUUUUAAUGUAGUUUAUAAACAACUUUUGAGUCUGGUGUAAUUAUAUAACCACAUACAAAACAUCAGGGUCAGACAGUGGGAGGAAAUGAGGGAGGAAUGAGGGAGGGAAUGAGGGAAGGAGUGUUGGUGGGACAGAGGGAAGGAGUGUUGGUGGGACAGAGGGAGUGUUGGUGGGACAGAGGGAAGGAGUGUUGGUGGGACAGAGGGAGUGUUGGUGGGACAGAGGGAGUGUUGGUGGGACAGAGGGAGUGUUGGUGGGACAGAGGGAAGGAGUGUUGGUGGGACAGAGGGAAGGAGUGUUGGUGGGACAGAGGGAAGGAGUGUUGGUGGGACAGAGGGAAGGAGUGUUGGUGGGACAGAGGGAAGGAGUGUUGGUGGGACAGAGGGAAGGAGUGUUGGUGGGACAGAGGGAGUGUUGGUGGGACAGAGGGAAGGAGUGUUGGUGGGACAGAGGGAAGGAGUGUUGGUGGGACAGAGGGAAAGAGUGUUGGUGGGACAGAGGGAAGGAGUGUUGGUGGGACAGAGGGAAGGAGUGUUGGUGGGACAGAGGGAAGGAGUGUUGGUGGGACAGAGGGAGUGUUGGUGGGACAGAGGGAAAGAGUGUUGGUGGGACAGAGGGAAGGAGUGUUGGUGGGACAGAGGGAAGGAGUGUUGGUGGGACAGAGGGAAGGAGUGUUGGUGGGACAGAGGGAAGGAGUGUUGGUGGGA